rnacentral:rRNA from 1 species
GGACUACUGGGGUUUCUAAUCCUGUUUGCUCCCCACGCUUUCGCGCCUCAGUGUCAGUUACAGACCAGAAAGUCGCCUUCGCCACUGGUGUUCCUCCAAAUCUCUACGCAUUUCACCGCUACACUUGGAAUUCCACUUUCCUCUUCUGCACUCAAGUUCCCCAGUUUCCAAUGACCCUCCACGGUUGAGCCGUGGGCUUUCACAUCAGACUUAAAGAACCACCUGCGCGCGCUUUACGCCCAAUAAUUCCGGACAACGCUUGCCACCUACGUAUUACCGCGGCGGCUGGCAC